GUCUAGUUGGUGCAAUGGGUUUUGCACUGUCCUUUUGCCUUUGGGAUCUGGGAUUGAAUUCAAACCAUACAAAUGGGAUUAAAGUGGAAUGAAACUGGGCGGUCUCAGUCCAUUUCUUAGAUUUAUCCACCAAUGAGACAACAGCACUAGAAACAAUCAUUUCCGAAUGUCCGGAACCACUAAAUUCAAACCAGCAAGUCAGAAAUGUAAUCGCAAACAGGGCCAUGCUUCCUAAUCUUGAGUUGAAAAUAGGAAGCUGAAAAUCAUUGCAUUAUCUCUGAAUUAUAUUAGAUGUCCAUUGUUUCAUAUAAAGGUGAGU